UAUGUUGUGUUGUCACCGACCAUGAGUAUAUAACAGUUUGUUGGACAAAAGUAUUCUUGUGGUUUGUGCCAUGGUUGGGCACCAUCUUAAAUAUAAAAUGAUAACAUUGCAAACAUUUUUAUUUUGAAGGGCCAACAAGAAAGGAUUUCUUCCGGCAGCAUAACAAAGAACCCAUUGGGUGGAUGCAACACCCGAAUGCCUUUUUGACUAAAUCAUUUUAAUUAACUAAUUACAGUGGCGGAGCUAGAUGGGGAGGCAAAGGGCAAAUACAUCAAUUCUUGAGCAGUCCAAAAACUAUAAUUUGUUGAAUUAAGCACCCCCAAGAGUUCUUUAUUCACACAUUUUUUCAAGGUUGGGGGUUUAAUAAGAUCAAGCACUCCGUCCUCUGCCAGGUCGCCGCCGCUGCUCGGGACGUAGACGCGCACAUGGGUCCGUCAGUCGCUGGCAAACGAGGUCGAGUCCGUGCGGAGCACUGGUCUCCUCGCUGUCGUCGUCGUCCUCCCUGCUGCCAGCGACGCCCUCCUGUCUCCUCUGCACCAGUCUACUCCUUCAUAUUAUUUACAAAAGAAAAUGGUUUGGGGUGAAGAGUUGAAGGCUUGAAGCCAAAUGUUCCUAAUCAAGAAGAUGACCCGCACAACUCCCCUGAAACAAGGCCAGCACUAUGUGCCAAGAUUGAAGAUCCCAAAUAUGUUUACUUUGGUCCAAUAUCGUAUAGCAGUGUAAUGCUUCAGGCACUUUUUAUCAUUCAUUUUUAUUAUUCAAAUCUCUAUAUGGUUGCCAUAGAUGCUACUAUUACAUGGAUUUAUUACUAUUUUUCAUGUGUUGUUGAAAAUAGAACUCACUCAUUUAUUUGUCUACGGAGGGAGUAGCAUACAGUAAGCUUCAUUUCACCGAGGAGAUCUUCCGUUACAUAGAGUUAUUAAUUUCAAUAUGAAUUCAGAAUUCAGUACCCACACGAAUUUCGUAGAUGCUUUGAUCGAGACGUGCGUUGCACGUGCAUGCUUACUAGUA